GAUGAAGAACGUAGCGAAAUGCGAUAAGUAGUGUGAAUUGCAGAAUUCAGUGAAUCAUCGAAUCUUUGAACGCACAUUGCGCCCCUUGGUAUACCAUGGGGCAUGCCUGUUCGAGCGUCAUUUGUACCUUCAAGCUCUGCUUGGUGUUGGGUGUUUGUCUCGCCUCUGCGUGUAGACUCGCCUCAAAACAAUUGGCAGCCGGCGUAUUGAUUUCGGAGCGCAGUACAUCUCGCGCUUUGCACUCAUAACGACGACGUCCAAAAGUACAUUUUUACACUCUUGACCUCGGAUCAGGUAGGGAUACCCGCUGAACUUAAGCAUAUCAAUAAGCGGAGGA
rnacentral:misc_RNA from 1 species